rnacentral:rRNA from 1 species
GACGAACGCUGGCGGCGUGCCUAAUACAUGCAAGUUGAGCGCUGAAGGUUGGUACUUGUACCAACUGGAUGAGCAGCGAACGGGUGAGUAACGCGUGGGGAAUCUGCCUUUGAGCGGGGGACAACAUUUGGAAACGAAUGCUAAUACCGCAUAAAAACUUUAAACACAAGUUUUAAGUUUGAAAGAUGCAAUUGCAUCACUCAAAGAUGAUCCCGCGUUGUAUUAGCUAGUUGGUGAGGUAAAGGCGCACCAAGGCGAUGAUACGUAGCCGACCUGAGAGGGUGAGCGGCCACAUUGGGACUGAGACACGGCCCAAACUCAUACGGGAGGCAGCAGUAGGGAAUCGUCGGCAAUGGACGAAAGUCUGACCGAGCAACGCCGCGUGAGUGAAGAGGGUUGUCGGAUCGUAAAACUCUGUUGGUAGAGAAGAACGUUGGUGAGAGUGGAAAGCUCAUCAAGUGACGGUAACUACCCAGAAAGGGACGGCUAACUACGUG